rnacentral:lncRNA from 1 species
CAGCAAAGCCAGCUAGGGCUUGAGAUCUCAUAUAUCAUGGCUACCUCCAUGGUGAAGCUUAUGCUUUUCUCUGCUCUCAUACUCUUGUCCUUGCAAGCAGUUGUGUCUGUAACACCACUGCAUUUUCAACAUCCACUAGACCCUUUAACCAAACAAGAGAUAAGUCUUGUCCAAACCAUAGUCCAAAACAAGUACCCAAGCUCAAGUAACAGGUUGAGCUUCCACUACAUUGGACUCGACGAACCUGAAAAGGAUGCCAUCCUCAAAUGGGAAUCCAUCAAACCAACUGUUAUAACUGUCCCUCGCAAAGCCUUGGCCAUUGUUAUAAUCAACAGCCAAACCCACGAGAUCUUAAUUGAUCUAAAGGCAAGGCGCAUUGUCUCCGACAAUAUUCACUCCGGGAAUGGCUUCCCUACCCUUUCCGUUGAUGAACAAGUCGUUGCCAUAGAGCUGCCACUGAAAUACGGUCCAUUCAUUGAGUCAGUGAACAAGAGAGGGCUGAACCUCUCUGAGGUGGUGUGUUCCACAUUCACAAUGGGGUGGUUUGGAGAAACCAAGGACAGAAGGACAGUGAGAGUGGAAUGCUUCAUGAAAGAAAGCAGCCCCAAUAUCUGGGUGAGGCCUAUCAGUGGACUCACAAUGGUGGUUGACCUUGAACUCAUGAAGAUCGUUCAGUAUCACGACGGUGGCAUUAUACCAGUACCAACUGCCGACAACACUGAAUACCGCUUUUCACAUCAGAACCCACCAUUCGGUCCAAGACAACAUAGUCUAGCAACCCAUCAACCACAGGGUCCAGGCUUCCAAAUCAACGGACACAGUAUUAGGUACUUACUACUUAGCUACGUAACUAAUUAAUGUUCUUUAUUUAUGCAUGCAAGUAUUUAUUAUUUCGUUAAUUUGUUGAUCGAUCAGUUGGGCCAACUGGAAGUUCCAUAUUGGAUUUGAUCCACGUGCCGGAAUUGUAAUAUCACUGGCAUCCAUUUAUGAUUUGGAGAAGCACAAAUCUCGUAGAGUGUUAUACAAAGGUUACAUUUCUGAGCUGUUUGUGCCAUACCAAGACCCAACAGAUGAUUUUUACUAUAAGACUUUCUUUGAUGCUGGAGAGUUUGGGUUUGGUCUCUCCACGGUCUCAUUGGUGCCCAACCGUGAUUGCCCAUCGAAUGCUCAGUUCCUAGAUACAU